UCGAGGAUCCUCUUGCAUCUAUUGAACAAAGACUCUAAGAAAAACCUGCAAAGCAGUGAGGAGAGCAGGAUGAGAAAGGGGAAAGAGCCAAGAAAAGAUGUGGAUUCAGCUGGAAACUAGCUGCAGCUAUAUUCCACUUAGAGCUCUAGAGUAUAAAUCUCACUGCAGUUUUUCCUGCUUGAGGCAGGGGCUCUCUCUUCUAUACAUUUCAAAGAUUGGAAGUUAAUGCCAGGAGAAGAUCUGACUGGGAAGAAACCUGCAUCAUUGUAGAGGCCUCACAAUUCCACAUAAGAUUAUAAAAGAGGUUUUCCCUGAAGCCAAUACAUCAAUACAUCGCUUGCAAGAACCCCAACAGGCGGCUCUAUACAUGGGGAGUCCGACCUAAGACAUAUGAUAAUAGUUGGAGGGAAAAAUGCGUCUUUUGCAGCCCAAUGGGAGCCACCAAAAUCUACGAAGAAUUGGCAUCCAUCUUCCAUCCUCCAACCAGCAGGAGUCUCCUUUCAUUAGAUCUACACAUUGGAUUUUCACAAAAUUCCUGGUAAAUGACAGCUCUUAGAUACAAAUGUCUGAAAGCUGUUGGACCAGAAGAUCUCUAAUGUUGGGUCUAGCUUGACAGUUCUGGAAAGACUUUCUCUACUACUCACUGAAUAAUAGUGCUCUGGAUUUAUUGGGAUUGGGGAAUAAAUGCAGCCAGGCUAGGUAUUAAAGAAUAUAUGGCUAGAAGUAGCCUUGGGCAUCACUGAGAAAAUUUUCAGAUUAUUUCAAAUAGAAGCGUUAUUUUCAUCCUUUAGAUUUUCAGUCUGCCCCCUUUGGUUGCUUGCCUCCCUGAAAAUCUCAGAACUUUUAUACCAGGGUAGAUGCUGUUGUUGCUCUGCCUAGAUACUCUUUUAUUGGACUUGGGUAUCCAUCCUUCAGUUGUCCUAAGCUAAUGGGAGCCACCUCACCUAGAGAUGCCUGGGAGUUUAUCCCCCAGUAUCCAUGUUCCACCUAUUCCAGGUAAGAGGUUGUCAUGGCCAAUGGCUAAAUCAUGCUGGGAAUUUAAAGUGUACCCUUUCGCUUCCAGCUGAAACCAAUCUGUAAUUUAAUUCACACUCCAGAUCUUCUCAUGGGAUCAGACUGAAGCUAGACUCUAGCUGAGACCACGAUGUUGCUCAGCCCCUUUUCCUGCUCCAUCUUGCUUCUCUCACUCCCUUACUGUUUUCUCUUGACAGCACACCCUAAAAAAAUUAUUGGCAAAACAACUCCUCAGUAAGGCUUUGCUGCUGGAAAACUUGGCGUCCUAAUAGUUCAGGUAUCUGAGGGCCACAAAAGGUGAGAUUUGGCUGGGGACCAAACACCAAUUGAUAAAAAUGAGGUCCAAAGGAAGCAAUUUAGGGGUCCUUGAUUCAGAAAAGCUUGUAUGUCAUACCCUUUUCAAAUUUCCCAAAUAGCUCUUCAAUGUGUGAAAAUAAAUAAGAAAAAGAAAA